rnacentral:rRNA from 1 species
GACGAACGCUGGCGGCGUGCUUAACACAUGCAAGUCGAACGAAGAGCGAUGGAAGCUUGCUUCUAUCAAUCUUAGUGGCGAACGGGUGAGUAACGCGUAAUCAACCUGCCCUUCAGAGGGGGACAACAGUUGGAAACGACUGCUAAUACCGCAUACGAUCUAACCUCGGCAUCGAGGAUAGAUGAAAGGUGGCCUCUACAUGUAAGCUAUCACUGAAGGAGGGGAUUGCGUCUGAUUAGCUAGUUGGAGGGGUAACGGCCCACCAAGGCGAUGAUCAGUAGCCGGUCUGAGAGGAUGAACGGCCACAUUGGGACUGAGACACGGCCCAGACUCCUACGGGAGGCAGCAGUGGGGAAUCUUCCGCAAUGGACGAAAGUCUGACGGAGCAACGCCGCGUGAGUGAUGACGGCCUUCGGGUUGUAAAGCUCUGUUAAUCGGGACGAAAGGCCUUCUUGCGAAUAGUUAGAAGGAUUGACGGUACCGGAAUAGAAAGCCACGGCUAACUACGUGC